rnacentral:rRNA from 1 species
CCCCUGGAACUAAGCAUAUCAAUAAGCGGAGGAAAAGAAACUAACAAGGAUUCCCCUAGUAACUGCGAGUGAAGCGGGAAAAGCUCAAAUUUAAAAUCUGGUGGUCUUUGGCCAUCCGAGUUGUAAUUUAGAGAAGCGUUUUCCGCGCUGGACCGUGCACAAGUCUCCUGGAAUGGAGCGUCAUAGAGGGUGAGAAUCCCGUCUUUGGCAUGGACACACCAGGGCUUUUGUGAUGCGCUCUCGAAGAGUCGAGUUGUUUGGGAAUGCAGCUCAAAAUGGGUGGUGAACUCCAUCUAAAGCUAAAUAUUGGCGAGAGACCGAUAGCGAACAAGUACCGUGAGGGAAAGAUGAAAAGCACUUUGGAAAGAGAGUGAAACAGUACGUGAAAUUGUUGAAAGGGAAACGCUUGAAGUCAGUCGCGUCGACCGAGACUCAGCCUUGCCUCGGCUUGGUGUACUUCUCGGCUGACGGGUCAGCAUCAAUUUUGCCCCUUGGAUAAUGGCGAGGGAAAUGUGACACCUUUAUGGUGUGUUAUAGUCUCUCGUCGCAUGCAAGGGUUGGGAUUGAGGAACUCAGCACGCACCUUUGGGUGUCGGGGCUUUGCCCACGAUACGUGCUCAGGAUGUUGGCGUAAUGGCUUUAAACGACCCGUCUUGAAACACGGACCAAGGAGUCUAACAUGCCUGCGAGUGUUCGGGUGGAAAACCCGUGCGCGCAAUGAAAGUGAAAGUUGGGACCUCUGUCGUGGAGGGCACCGACGCCCGGACCAGACCUUCUGUGACGGCUCUGCGGUAAAGCAUGUAUGUUAGGACCCGAAAGAUGGUGAACUAUGCCUGAAUAGGGUGAAGCCAGAGGAAACUCUGGUGGAGGCUCGUAGCGAUUCUGACGUGCAAAUCGAUCGUCAAAUUUGGGUAUAGGGGCGAAAGACUAAUCGAACCAUCUAGUAGCUGGUUCCUGCCGAAUUCCCCUCCGGAAAAAAAAAAC